rnacentral:rRNA from 1 species
GACGAACGCUGGCGGCGGGCUUAACACAUGCAAGUCGAACGGAAAGGCCCUGCUUAUGUGGGGUGCUCGAGUGGCGAACGGGUGAGUAACACGUGAGUAACCUGCCCUUGACUUUGGGAUAACUUCAGGAAACUGGGGCAAAUACCGGAUAAGAGCUCCUUCUGCCAGGAGGGGGUUGGAAAGUUUCGGCGGUUUGUGAUGGACUCGCGGCUUAUCAGCUUGUUGGGGGGGUUGUGGAUUAACAAGGCUUUGACGGGUAGCCGGCCUGAGAGGGUGACCGGCCAAAUUGGGACUGAGAUACGGCCCGGACUCGUACGGGAGGCAGCAGUGUGGAAUAUUGCACGAUGGGCGGAAGCCUGAUGCAGCAACGCCGCGUGCGGGAUGGCGGCCUUCGGGUUGUAGACCGCUUUCGCCUGUGACGAAGCGUGAGUGACGGUAAUGGGUAAAGAAGCACCGGCUAACUACGUG